rnacentral:lncRNA from 1 species
UCGAAUUGUACCUUAAAUGCGUGCACAGUGUGUCAAAUGUCUCUGUUUUGCGUCGGAUCAGUAAUGAAAACUUACUAUAAAUGGUGACUGAUCACAACCCCAAACUUAGCUCAUUGCUUGUCCCAAGUAAUGUUUCAGUAUCACUCUCCAAAAUUCUUUAUGCUUUCCACCACUGCUGAGAUCAUUCGCAAACGUCUUCCCCUUUUCUUCCACAAGUCCUACCCAUCUUCGUAAGUCAUCAUUCACACUUCC